rnacentral:lncRNA from 1 species
UUUAGAAAUUAUGAUAACAAAAAUAUUUUUGGAUAGAUGAGCAUUUUUUCUGAGUUUUUCACAGUGUUUUGAAACCCGACCCGGACCCGCGGUUGACCCGGUAAACCCGGCGAUCCAGAAAAAAUCCGGUUUGGGUUUUAUAAAAAACCCAAUAUUUAAAAAUCCGCAAAAACCCGUAAAAAUCCUCAAAAACCCAUUAAACCCCGGAAUCCGAUAUCGGUUGAACCCCCGGUUGAACCAAUAAAUAACUUUUACUCAUUUUUUA